rnacentral:snoRNA from 1 species
GAGCACUUGAUACUAACCAAGCCAUCCAUAUCCCAGGCCUUGUGCAGAGGUCUGUGGUAUGCCAUGUGAUUGCUGGGUCUGAAAAGUGCUACAUUAAAACAAGCCAUGAAGUGUUUAAGCUCAGUGUGUAAAGGAAGACACUGGGUUAUAACUCAGAGGCACAGCA